rnacentral:rRNA from 1 species
AUGGCUCAGGAUGAACGCUGGCGGCGUGCCUAAUACAUGCAAGUGAAACGGGUAUCUUCGGAUACCAGUCGCGGACGGGUGAGUAAUACAUAGGCAACCUGCCUUUAUGAGGGGGAUAACCGAGGGAAACUUUGGCUAAUACCGCAUGAAGACUCUAAGGCAUCUUAGAGGGAUAAAAGUUGGGAAACAACGCAUGAAGAUGGGCUUAUGGCGCAUUAGCUAGUUGGUGAGAUAGAAGCCCACCAAGGUAAUGAUGCGUAGCCGACCUGAGAGGGUGAACGGCCACAUUGGGACUGAGACACGGCCCAAACUCCUACGGGAGGCGGCAGUAGGGAAUUUUCGGCAAUGGGGGGAACCCUGACCGAGCAACGCCGCCGUGAAGGAAGAAGGUUUUCGGAUUGUAAACUUCUGUUAUAAGGGAAGAACGGAUUGGAUAGGGAAUGAUCUGAUAGUGACGGUACCUUAUUAGAAAGCCACGGCUAACUACGUGCCAGCAGCCGC